AGUUUUCUGAUUAUGAGAUUUUCAGAUUUUGUUUUAUGGCUAUGUUUGGUACAGAGGAAAAGAGAAAAUAAAAUGCCUUUUUUAACCUCGUUUUAUAGCCGUUAAAGCACCCCUGUUUUCUUCGGAAGAGAGCCCUUGUUUUGAAAUUUGAAGAAUACCGUUUGCUUGUCCGAUCAGACGGUUCGGACCAGGGAUAGGUUAAUUUCAGUUGUCGCUUUCUUUCUCUUCUUCUUCAAUGUUAACAGUAAAGACGUUAAGUACCCUAACCUAGGGCUUCUUCUGGAACCGAUCUUGCCUUUGUUGAGCUUCGACAAAUCGAUCCUCUUUUUGCCAUUCUUUGCCCUGUACCUGCGCGUCCUGAGGAACCCUAGGUUUAACAGGUAUGUGAGGUUCAAUUCGAUGCAUGCACUCGUUUUGGAUGUGCUUUGGUGCUUCCUUUGUUUAUUCAAAGGAUCAUUAAUCCUGGUAAAGGGCUAGGGUUUCGAUUUAUGGUAAUGGUUUAUAAUGCGAUCUUUGUGUUUAUUGAGGCUUGCUUCUUGUAUAGCAUAUGGUUUUGUAUUUUGGGGUAGGACUCCUUACUUUCCAUUUGUUGCUGAUGCAUUGAGUUUAAUGAUAUGAAUCUAUGCAAUUUUAAUUGGGUAUUUUCAGAAUUGAAUAUGGAGUCGUUUACUUUUUAUUCAAUUAAUUGGGUGUUUGAAGAAUUAAAUCUAUCACACUGAGGCAGCGACUUCUAGGGACCAAAAGUGGGUCAUGGUCCCUCCUUCAAUUCACUUUGGUUUUCAACUCAGGCAGCCACACCGUUGGGAGAAAAAUUAAGGCAGCCUUUAUUAUUUAUUUACUUUGGACACAAAUAUUUUCCUCUCAAAUAAUUUUUCUACUGAUGUACACUUUUAGUUGAAGGUGGGAGAGAGAGAGAGAGAGAUUGCACCAGAGAUCGAGAAUGCUUCAUCGCAGGUGGAACCCAUGGCAGAAGGCCAGAAGCGCACAAAUGAAUGAAGUCUUUAUACGGGUAGCUGGUAGGUAUCUUCUUCAUAUUUCAUAGAUUUUUUUCAAGAUAUCAUAUGUGGGAAACAUCAAUUAUGAAGAAGGAAUAUGUUGCCUUUACUUAGGUACCAUAGGUUUUAUUGGUAUCUUGGGUGGGUGGGAAACAUCAAUUAUGAGGAAUAAUGGAGUGGGAAUCUCCUCCAUGGUUGAUAGUCCCUACAAAAAUUUACAUCACCCACAAAACCAACUUUCUCCACCAAGUUGGGAUUCAUUCCAGUGAAGAUGGUGGGACUAGGAGGAAAAGUGCAGGAAAAAGGAAAUUCUCAUUCGCUCUGUUUGGUUGCAAAGAAAAUUAAAGGAAAGGGAAGUGUUUACAGUUAUAGUUAGGUGUACCCAAAAACUCAAGAUGGUGAAAACCAUUUGAAGUUUGGAUAGUAGAAACUAAGGAUGCACAGAUGGGUGAGCUUUGGUAAAAGAAUCUAGUUGGAGCAGACAUAUGGCAAGAGAAAUUUGCCUUGACGGAAGAGGGUGACGACUGACAGUAGACGAACAACUGUGGAUGAAAUUACAAACCUCCCUUCAAAUUGGAAUUUUUUGGUGUCUCUUGUGUAAAGCAAUAAUCUUUAUUGUGGGAAAGGGUAUCAAUUGGUUGGUUCGGUCCAGUUUUGAUCAAGUUGCUAGAUUGCUUGACAUGAUCUGUGAUGUCCAAGGAUUUCUGUCUGUUUAUAGGCCAAACUUGAACCAAUCUGUUAAGUUUCCCUUUUUUUUUUUUUUCUGUUAUAAUUUUGUAAUUAGACUACUACUGAGUUCAAGGGAGGGUUCAAGGCUUUUAGAACA